UUAACUCAAAUUUGUAUGGAGUUGAAACGUUUGCCUACGUUUGCAGAUAGGGCCGGUGUUCCAACACCAUACAAAUUUGAGUUA
rfam:Bombyx mori DNA, contig: Bm_scaf105_contig36695, strain: p50T/Dazao, build 2, whole genome shotgun sequence.